rnacentral:rRNA from 1 species
GACAGAGGUGCCAAGCGUUAGGCGGAAUCACUGGGCUUAAAGCGUGUGUAGGUGGAUUUGUAAGUACCUUGUGAAAUCCCAUGGCUCAACCAUGGAACUGCUCGGUAUACUGCGAAUCUUGAGCCACUUAGGGGCUACCGGAACAAAUGGUGGAGCGGUGAAAUGCGUAGAUAUCAUUUGGAACGCCAAUGGUGAAAACAGGUAGCUGGGAGUGUGCUGACACUGGAGACACGAAAGCCAGGGGAGCGAACGGGG